ACAUCAAAUUAUGUAGGACCACUGACCACCUCACCUCCACAAGAUAAUACAUAAUGAAGAUUUGAAAGGUGUUGGUGGUGUCUGACAGAAAACAUUCUCAUGCUUUUAUUUGCCAGAUUAUUUUGUCUUCUCUGCUUUGCCAUGCUUCACAUACUCUGUGUUUUUAAAAAUGGGACUUUUAUUAAUUUAACCUAAGAGAUUUUAUAUAUUGAGAACUGCAUGAUGGGUUUGCUUCAGAAAUUCGUUAAAAAUAUUUUUUUCCAAUUUAUCAAUAAUUAAUGCAUGUACAAAUCAAAUUAAGCUCAGCAUGUUAGCUGUUCAUUUCUAAAUUCUACAGUAUCAAGAUUAGUUAUUUUUUCAAACUUAGUUUUGAGUCAUUAAGAUCAUUUUCAAUUUUGAUAUUUAUGGUAUUUUCUUUAUCUUUUUCACUGAAAUUAUGUUUAUUUUUAUUUUUGGGGGAGGUGGUAGGGACAGUGUUAUGAAGUAUCUUUUUUUUCAAACUGUUAACUCUAAAAUGAAAGCAUAUGCUAUAUUUACCAGCUACAGGCUGAUGAGUCGUACAUUUCAAUGCUUAAGAAGUAAAAUACAUUUGGGAGUGUUUAAUAAUAAUCAUGCAUGACCUUGAAACACGAUUUAGUAUGGCACAAGUGUUUAUAGAAAUAUGAACUUCCAAAAGGAAGGUAGCCACCGAAGCAUGGCAAAGCAGAGUUAACCAAGAAAAGCUUAUAACCACACAAAAGUCACCUGACAGUGUUAACAACUUAUCUGUAAAUGGUAAUAUGCUUGUGGGAAAUUCAAAGGGAGGCUGUGGGAAAUAUAAAGGGGAGGCAAUCUGUUUAGAAAGAAGGGGAGACAACUUUAUUUAUUUAUUUUUUUUGUUGAAAAAAAAAAUGCAAAUUUAUGUCAACUGAAGAAAUUUUUAGAAAAAAUAUUAAUUAAGACAGCAUGAUGAUUUAUUAAGAUUUUCUUUGAAAAGGGCAGGUGAUUUGUUAACAGUGUCAGUCGAUAAGUGUGGGUCAGACACCAGCUGACCUUUAGCCUUUGAACUUCACUCUUACCUUAUAAUUUCUCACUUGCAUAUUACCAUAUUAAUAUACUUCUGCUGUGUAAAAUAUUAUAUUUAUUGUAAAAUGAUAAAGGCCAGAAUUGUG